rnacentral:rRNA from 1 species
GUGAUANCUCAUAGGCGNAGUGAAAGUAAGUAUAGGAUNCGAUGGUGUUAAAGCCUGCAGUAUCGGCCGCUUGGGAUCUUUUGAGACCGANGUGNGCAAGAGCAUAUUUGUUAGGACCCGAAAGAUGGUGAACUAUGCUUGAGUAGGAUGAAGUCAGGGGAAACUCUGAUGGAGGUNCGAAGCGGUACUGACGUGCAAAUCGUUCGUCAAACUUGAGUAUAGGGG